AUGCCGGGCUACCAUUGGUAUCUAGCAGUUGCCAACGCCAAAAAACGAGAGAUCCAAGUAUUGGACUCACUUGGUGAGAAUGUCAAACGCAAUGACCUUGCUACUACGUUAUUAGGGCUCGAGAAAUGGCUGAAACUUGCAGAGCAUAGUCCGGAGUUUAUCAGAAGUCAUAAGUGGCCUGAUCUCAAUGUUACAACAUGGACGGUUGUAGAGCAAAUUCAGGAGGCAAUACAAACCGAUGGCGUAUCAUGUGGAUUGUUCAUGCUAAACUAUAUGGAAUACUGGACACCACAUGGACUGUCAGACCAGUUUACGCAGGAGGAUAUGAAACAUUUUCGACAAAAAUUAGCAAUUAUUUUGCUUGAUUCAGAGCUUAAUAAGUUAAAAGGAUGUCCCAUGUACCAUCAACCUCUCAAAAAAGAAACUUUAUCUAAUUCUGAUCUUGAGAUACUGGAUGAUCCAUCUGACGUGGUCGAAGAGAAACGUCCCGCCCCAAUCACUAUCAUUCUUACGGACCAACGUGAAAUACUUGCCGGCCUCUGUAAAUACAUCGUGUCGAUUAAUGAUGCUGGAUCUUUGGAGAAGCCCAUGGACAAUGAUUGCUUCAACACCGCCGUGCUUAUGCUGGCAUGUGAUGAGGGAGUAUUGUUCACAGACCCUCCUAUACACUACAUGGAUCUACGAUUUUGUUCCAUGCUGCUAGAGUCAACACGAGGUCAGAAGUUUUGUGAGAAGGAAACUAUCCAGACGCUGGCAACAUUAUUUGAUAGCUGGCCUGGGAUGGAGACCGACAUCUCAUCUUGCAAUAAGAUUUAUCUUCCCUAUGCAUCCAUCGGCCGAUACAUCCUAUACAUCAUCGACAAAGAGGCACGUCGUCUAUAUAUUGGAUCCUAUUCAAUCAUCACAAUCGUCAGAGGAUAA
rnacentral:rRNA from 1 species